GGGGGCGUACUGGUUUCGACGUGGUCAUGAUGGUUGAAAGUGCAUGUCGAGUUUUUGUUGGAUACUCGUAAAUAAAACAGCAAAAAAACAAAUGCAGAAACAUUUAAUUCUGUUGGAGUAGCAUUAUUUGCAUUAUUUGCAUUAUUUGCAGGUAUGUUCACUUUCUUAAGACGUCGCGAAGACGAACUUUCUUUCGCGUUUUAAGUAUUAUAAAAAACUAGUUCUAUCUACUCUAAUUUUUGCUAUUUGCUAAAGUAGAUAUAUAUAAAAUAGACUUACAAAUCGCUGCUGUGUUUCCAAGGUAGAUUUGUUCGUAUUAUUUGGAAAAUAAACAUGUAGUACUGUCGACUUGACUUUCUACGGACAUGGGUUCGACUCCCAUCGCCUCCACCA
rnacentral:tmRNA from 1 species